GCUUUUGUGGGUGAAGCUUUUGUGGUGGGUGAAGCUUUUGUUGGUGAAGCUUUUAUGGGUGAAGCUUUUGUAGGUGAAGCUUUUGUAGGUGAAGCUUUUGUGAUGGGUGAAGCUUUUGUGGGUGAAGCUUUUGUUGGUGAAGCUUUUAUGGGUGAAGCUUUUGUAGGUGAAGGUUUUUGUGGUGGGUGAAGCUUUUUGUGGGUGAAGGCUUUUGUGGUGUGAAGCUUUUGUAGGUGAAGCUUUUGUGAUGGGUGAAGCUUUUGUGAUGGUGAAGCUUUUGUGGGUGAAGCUUUUGUGGGUGAAGCUUUUGUUGGUGAAGCUUUUAUGGGUGAAGCUUUUGUAGGUGAAGUUUUUGUGGUGGGUGAAGCUUUUGUGGGUGAAGCUUUUAUGGGUGAAGCUUUUGUGAUGGGUGAAGCUUUUGUGAGUGAAGCUCUUGUUGGUGAAGCUUUUAUGGGUGAAGCUUUUGUAGGUGAAGUUUUUGUGGUGGGUGAAGCUUUUGUGGCGGGUGAAGCUUUUGUGGUGGGUGAAGCUUUUGUGGGUGAAGCUUUUGUGGGUGAAGCUUUUGUUGGUGAAGCUUUUAUGGGUGAAGCUAUUAUGGGUGAAGCUUUUGUGGGUGAAGUUUUUAUGUUGAAGCUUUGUAGGUGAAGCUUUUGUAGGUGAACCUUUGGAGUUGAAGCUUUUGUUGGGUACCAUGAAUUGAUUUUGCUUCACACUAUCUUGAUCAAGAUAGUGUAAAGCUUUUGAGAAUUUGUAAUUGUUCUCCAUUGAUGAAGCUUUUGUAGGUGAAGCUAUUUUGGGUGAAGCUUUUGUAGGUGAAGCUUUGGAGUUGAAGCUUUGUAGGUGAAGUUUUUGAGUUGAAGCUUUGUAGGUGAAGUUUUUGAGUUGAAGCUUUUGUUGGGUACCAUGAAUUGAUUUUGCUUCACACUAUCUUGAUCAAGAUAGUGUGAAGCUUUUGAGAAUUUGUAGUUGUCCUCCAUUAAUGAAGCUUUUGUUGGUGAAGCUUUUGUUGGGUGAAGUUUUUGUGGGUGAAGCUAUUAUGGGUGAAGCUUUUAUAGGUGAAGCUUUGGAGUUGAAGCUUUGUAGGUGAAGCUUUGGAGUUGAAGCUGCUU
rnacentral:lncRNA from 1 species